CUUACUUUUGGCAAAAGAAUCGGUCGAUCCUUCACUACACUCUCUCUACACCCCCCCCUUUUUCGACCCUUCCCCCACCCCCCCCCCCCCCCCCCACACACACAUAAACUGACCGCCGAUAGCGGACAAUCAAAUAUCGCUGCCGUUUGUCACCGACGGGACCACCAUCGUGAACAGCUGUUCAACUACCACCGCGAUGUGUAUCUUACGGAUGAUGGCGAUGGAGAAGGAGAUGGUGUUGGUGGAGAAGAUAAGGCAUCGGUGGUUUCGUGUUCGAUUUGUCUUAAAGAUGUAACCAAUAAUGGGGAUUGAUCCUGGGCUAAGCUUCAAUGUGGAUAUCAAUUUCACCUUGCCAAGUGAUGGGCUAGUGGACUCAUUUCGUCCAUGGAUGCAAGAAGACCACGUGAUGAUAGUGAUCCUAAUGACAGUCAUUAAUUUCGUUGCAAAUUGUCUUGAAAAUUCAUUUAUGAUGAUGUAAUUGUGUGGUUGGGGCGAAUCUUAGAAUAUUGAAGGUUUUGUGUUUAAAUUUGAUUUUGGAAUUCGAAGAUACUAGUUAAUAUUGAAAAUUUAGAGUUUGAAAAUGUUAAUGU